CUGCCAGCAGAGAGGCGCACGCAAGAACAUUUUUCACACUGACACUGCUCCCUGGAGUCUCAGACUAACCAGGUCCGGCAAAAUAUGGAGAGAGAGAGAGAGAAGCUUGUCCCCCUCCGCUGAAACUGACAAGGAGAGUUUUGCAAUUGACAAGUGAUGAAACUGACCCGUUGCUACCCCGACUCCCUCCCCUCAGUGCCGCAUCAGAUCUACUCCCCGGCUUUGUUUCUUUUCCACCCCAGACGGAGCUCUGCAGGGCAAGCUGGCAAGUGUGUUCCAUGAAGAGGGAAGAGGCAUCUAUCUGCAACCAAGGCACCCAAAUACCCCUGAAAAUCUGGGUUACAUUUUCAGAAACACCCAAGAGACCCAUCCUCAGAAGUGACCCAGGAGCCCACAUCUCAUUGAAAGUCACUGCAACAGGGUCAUCAAAGGAUCAAACUGCUUUAUAGAACAGUGUUACAUACUCUGCAUAUACAUUUUAUGUACAAACGUGUGUAGUGUUUUAGAUAAACAGUUCAGAUGUCUGUUCUUGGCCCUGAUCCUACUUCUCCUAGCAGUAAAGUUAAGUGAUUAAUU